CACAAAAGAGGCCAGCCAGAAAAUGAGUUA
rnacentral:piRNA from 1 species